GACGUAGGGCGCGAGCGUUGUCCGGAUUUAUUGGGCGUAAAGAGCUCGUAGGCGGCUUGUCGCGUCGGCUGUGAAAACCCGCGGCUCAACUGUGGGCGGGCAGCUGAUACGGGCAGGCUGGAGUUCGGUAGGGGAGACUGGAAUUCCUGGUGUAGCGGUGAAAUGCGUAGAUAUCUGGAGGAACACCGGUGGCGAAGGCGGCAUUCUGGACCGACAUUGACGCUGAGGAGCGAAAGCCAGGGGAGCAAACGGG
rnacentral:rRNA from 1 species